rnacentral:rRNA from 2 species
GCACCUCGAUGUCGGCUCAUCACAUCCUGGGGCUGAAGUCGGUCCCAAGGGUAUGGCUGUUCGCCAUUUAAAGUGGUACGCGAGCUGGGUUUAGAACGUCGUGAGACAGUUCGGUCCCUAUCUGCCGUGGGCGUUGGAAGAUUGAAGGGGGCUGCUCCUAGUACGAGAGGACCGGAGUGGACGAACCUCUGGUGUUCGGGUUGUGUCGCCAGACGCAUUGCCCGGUAGCUAAGUUCGGAAUUGAUAAGCGCUGAAAGCAUCUAAGCGCGAAGCGAGCCCUGAGAUGAGUCUUCCCUGAUACUUUAAGUAUCCUAAAGGGUUGUUCGAGACUAGAACGUUGAUAGGCAGGGUGUGUAAGCGUUGUGAGGCGUUGAGCUAACCUGUACUAAUUGCCCGUGAGGCUUAACCAU